rnacentral:rRNA from 1 species
UACGUAGGGUGCAAGCGUUAAUCGGAAUACUGGGCGUAAAGCGUGCGCAGGCGGUUAUGUAAGACAGAUGUGAAAUGCCCGGGCUUAACCUGGGAACUGCAUUUGUGACUGCAUGGCUAGAGUUUGGCAGAGGGGGGUAGAAUUCCACGUGUAGCAGUGAAAUGCGUAGAUAUGUGGAGGAACACCGAUGGCGAAGGCAGCCCCCUGGGUCAAGACUGACGCUCAUGCACGAAAGCGU